CAUCCGGUGACUUAGUGAUUAGAGCGUCCGCCUCGGAUGCUGCGGGUCUCGGGUUUGAACCCCGACCGAAUCA